CCUACGGGGGGCUGCAGUGGGGAAUAUUGCACAAUGGGGGAAACCCUGAUGCAGCAACGCCGCGUGAGUGAAGAAGUAUUUCGGUAUGUAAAGCUCUAUCAGCAGGGAAGAAGAUGACGGUACGUGAGUAAUAAGCCCCGGCUAACGACGUGCCAGCAGCCGCUGUAAUCCGUAGGGGGCCAGCGUUAUCCGGAUUUACUUGGUGUAAAGGGGGCGUAGACGGUGAGACAAGUCUGAAGUGAAAGCCCGGGGGUCAACCCCGGGACUGCUUUGGAAACUGCCUGCCUGGAGUGCUGGAGAGGCAAGCGGAAUGCCUGGUGUAGCGGUGAAAUGCGUAGAUAUUAGGAGGAACACCAGUGGCGAAGGCGGCUUACUGGACUGUAACUGACGUUGAGGCUCGAAAGCGUGGGGAGCAAACAGGAUUAGAUACCCGUGUAGUC
rnacentral:rRNA from 1 species